UUUUUAUGGAGAGUUUGAUCCUGGCUCAGGAUGAACGCUGGCGGCGUGCCUAAUACAUGCAAGUCGAGCGAACAGACGAGGAGCUUGCUCCUCUGACGUUAGCGGCGGACGGGUGAGUAACACGUGGAUAACCUACCUAUAAGACUGGGAUAACUUCGGGAAACCGGAGCUAAUACCGGAUAAUAUAUUGAACCGCAUGGUUCAAUAGUGAAAGACGGUUUUGCUGUCACUUAUAGAUGGAUCCGCGCCGCAUUAGCUAGUUGGUAAGGUAACGGCUUACCAAGGCGACGAUGCGUAGCCGACCUGAG
rnacentral:rRNA from 1 species